GAUGAACGCUAGCGGCAGGCUUAACACAUGCAAGUCGAGGGGUAACGAUAGUGCUUGCACUAGGCGACGACCGGCGCACGGGUGAAUAACGCGUAUGCAACCUACCUACAACAGGGGGAUAGCUUUCGGAAACGAAAAUUAAUACCCCAUAGUACCUUAAUGCCGCAUGGUAUAAAGGUUAAAACUCUGGUGGUUGUAGAUGGGCAUGCGUGCCAUUAGUUUGUUGGUGAGGUAACGGCUCACCAAGACUACGAUGGCUAGGGGGUCUUAAAGGAUGGUCCCCCACACUGGUACUGAGACACGGACCAG
rnacentral:rRNA from 1 species